GGCUUACACAUGCAGUCGAGCGGUAGCACAGAGAGGAGCUUGCUCCUCGGCGUGACGAGCGGCGGACGGGUGAGUAAUGUCUGGGGAACUGCCUGAUGGAGGGGGAUAACUACUGGAAACGGUAGCUAAUACCGCAUAACGUCUCAAGACCAAAGAGGGGGACCUUCGGGCCUCUUGCCAUCAGAUGUGCCCAGAUGGGAUUAGCUAGUAGGGGGGUAAUGGCUCACCUAGGGACAUCCUAGCUGGUUGAGGAUGACCCCCACUGGAAUGGACCGCAGACUCUACGGGAGGCAGCAGUGGGGAAUAUUGCCAGGGCGCAACCUGAUGCAGCCAUGCCGCGUUGUGAAGAAGGCCUCGGGUUGUAAAGCACUUUCAGCGAGGAGGAAGGUGUAGCUUAAUACGUUCAUCAAUUGACGUUACUCGCAGAAGAGCACCGGCUAACUCGUGCCAGCAGCGCGUAAUACGGAGGGUGCAAGCGUUAAUCGGAAUUACUGGGCGUAAAGCGCACGCAGGCGGUUUUUAAGUCAGAUGUAAAUCCCGGGCUCAACCUGGGAACUGCAUUAAACUGGCAAGCUAGAGUCUCGUAGAGGGGGGUAAAUUCCAUGUGUAGCGGUGAAAUGCGUAGAGAUCUGGAGGAAUACCGGUGGCGAAGGCGGCCCCCUGGACGAGACUGACGUCAGGUGCGAAAGCGUGGGGAGCAACAGGAUUAGUACCCUGGUAGUCCACGCGUAAACGAUGUGAUUUGGAGGUUGUGCCCUUGAGGCGUGGCUUCCGGAGCUAACGCGUUAAAUCGACCGCCUGGGGAGUACGGCCGCAAGGUUAAAAUCAAAUGAAUGACGGGGGCCCGCCAAGCGGUGGACAUGUGGUUUAAUUGAUGCAACGCGAAGACCUUAUACUCUUGACAUCCAGAGAACUUUCCAGAGAUGGAUUGGUCCUUCGGGAACUUGAGACAGGUGCUGCAUGGCGUCGUCAGCUCGUGUUGUGAAAUGUUGGGUUAAGUCCCGCAACGAGCGCAACCCUUAUCCUUUGUUGCCAGCGGUUCGCCGGGAACCAAAGGAAUGCCGGUAAAGGAGAAGGGGGGAUAUCAUCUCUGGGCCCUUAAUAGGGUCCACGUCAAGGGUAUAACAAAAGAAGCGACCCCGAGCAAGGACCCUAAAGUACGUCGUACUGGGUCUGCAACUCGACUCCAUGAAGUCGGAAUCGCUAGUAAUCGUAGAUCAGAAUGCUACGGUGAAUACGUUCCCGGGCCUUGUACACACCGCCCGUCACACCAUGGGAGUGGGUUGCAAAAGAAGUAGGUAGCUUAACCUUCGGGAGGGCGCUACCACU
rnacentral:rRNA from 1 species